rnacentral:sRNA from 1 species
GCCAGGCACAGUGGUGCAUGCCUAUAAUCCUAGAGGCUCAGGAGGCUGAGACAGGAGGAUCGAGGGUUUGAAGCCAGCCUUGGCAACCGGGAGAUGCUAAGCAACUCAAUGAGAUCCUGUCUCUA